rnacentral:rRNA from 1 species
AUGGUUGAGAAGAAGCCGAGGGUUGUCAUAGUGGGCGCGGGCAUAGCCGGACUCUCGGCGGCGCAGCAGCUAUGCGGCGCGGGCCGGGACAAGUUAGAGGUGGUGGUGGUGGAGGCUGGCUGCCGCGCUGGUGGCCGGGUAUACACGUCCGAGUUCGCCGGCCAUCGUCUCGAGAUGGGCGCUACGUGGGUGCAGGGCAUCGUCGGGAGCCCCGUGUACGCGCUGGCGCGGGAAGCAGGCGCGCUCCGGCAGGAGGCCGCGGACCUCCCUUACGAGCGCAUGGACGGGUUCCCUGACAGCGUCCUGACUGUCGCCGAGGGCGGCGAUGUCGUCGACGCGGUGACGGUGGCCAAGCCGAUCGAGGAGCUGUACAGGGACAUGAUGGAGGCCGCGCGUGCCGGUGAGGCUGUCGGCGGAGGGGGUGUGGAGGAUUACCUGCGCCGGGGGCUCCGAGCGUACCAGGCGGCGCGCCCGGGCGGGAGCAAGGAGCUGGAGGAGGUCGAGCAGGCGCUGCUUGUCAUGCACAUCAACCGGGAGCGCACGGACACCUCCGCCGACGAUCUCGGCGACCUUGACCUCGCGGCCGAGGGCGAGUACCGCGACUUCCCCGGCGACCACGUCACGAUCCCCGGUGGGUACACCCGCGUGGUGGAGCACCUCGCCGCCGCGCUCCCGCCCGGCACUGUCCGCCUCGGCCUCCGCCUCCGUCGUCUCGACUGGGGCGAAACCCCCGUGCGCCUCCACUUUGCCGAUGAGGCGACGACGACGCUCACCGCUGACCACGUCAUCCUCACGGUCUCGCUGGGCGUCCUCAAGGCGAGCAUCGGCGAGGACGUGUCCGCUGCGGGUGCAAUCGCCUUCGACCCGCCGCUCCCACAGUUCAAGCGUGAGGCCGUCGCGCGGCUGGGAUUCGGUGUCGUGGACAAGCUGUUUAUCGAGCUGGAGGACGUGGAGAUGCCGGAACCGGAUGGCGACGACGAGCAGCAAGCCAGGACGGCCCCGCCGACUUUCCCGUUCCUGCACAUGGCCUUCGUCGGAGACGUGGCGAAGAUCCCGUGGUGGAUGCGCGGCACCGAGUCAGUGUGCCCCGUCCACGCGGGCUCCACCGUGGCGCUCGCGUGGUUCGCCGGGCGGGAGGCCGCGCACCUCGAGUCGCUCCCCGACGACGAGGUCAUCCGCGCGGUCCACUCCACGCUGGAAUCCUUUCUCCCGGGCCCACCUCGCCGCUGCAGCGGGGCAGGCGCGGGGGCGACCCCACGGCGGAGGGUGAGGAGAAUCAAGAGGAGCGGGUGGGCGACGGACCCGCUGUUCCUCGGGUCCUACAGCUACGUCGCCGUCGGGUCAAGCGGCGAGGAUCUUGAUCGGAUGGCAGAGCCGCUCCCGCGCGGACCGGAGGCCGGUCGGACGCCGCUGAGCGUGCUGUUCGCCGGCGAGGCGACGCAACGGACGCACUACUCGACGACGCACGCGGCCUACCUGAGCGGCGUACGGGAGGCCGACCGGCUGCUGCAGCACUACCGCUGA